rnacentral:rRNA from 1 species
UACGGAGGGUGCGAGCGUUAAUCGGAAUUACUGGGCGUAAAGCGUGCGCAGGCGGUUCGCCAAGUCAGGUGUGAAAUCCCCGGGCUUAACCUGGGAAUUGCGCUUGAAACUAGCGGGCUUGAGUGUGGCAGAGGGGGGUGGAAUUCCACGUGUAGCAGUGAAAUGCGUAGAGAUGUGGAGGAACACCGAUGGCGAAGGCAGCCCCCUGGGUCAACACUGACGCUCAUGCACGAAAGCGUGGGGAGCAAACAGG